ACUCAAAUGAAUUGACGGGGGCCCGCACAAGCGGUGGAGCAUGUGGUUUAAUUCGAUGCAACGCGAAGAACCUUACCUACUCUUGACAUGUUAGGAAUUUGGCUGAAAGGCUGAAGUGCCGCAAGGAGCCUAAACACAGGUGCUGCAUGGCUGUCGUCAGCUCGUGUCGUGAGAUGUUGGGUUAAGUCCCGUAACGAGCGUAACCCUUAUAUUUAGUUGCUAAUCAGAAAUGGUGCACUCUAGAUAGACUGCCGGUGUUAAGCCGGAGGAAGGUGGGGAUGACGUCAAGUCAUCAUGGCCUUUAUGAGUAGGGCGACACACGUGCUACAAUGGACGUUACAGAGAGAGUUGAAACCGCGAGGUGGAACAAAUCUUUCAAAGGCGUUCGUAGUCCGGAUUGUAGUCUGCAACUCGACUACAUGAAGUUGGAAUCGCUAGUAAUCGCGAAUCAGAAUGUCGCGGUGAAUACGUUCCCGGGCCUUGCACACACCGCCCGU
rnacentral:rRNA from 1 species